UACAGCCAUAUCCCAUUGAAACAACAGUUCUUGUAUGAUCACUGAAGUUAAGCAAUGUCAAGCCGGGUCAGUACCUAGAUGGGUGGCUACUUGGGAAUAACAGAUGCCACAG